rnacentral:lncRNA from 1 species
AUACCACCUACUACCCUGGGAAUGAAUGCAGCAGGAGGUACUUAGCUGAGGCCUCCAUUGUCCUUAUGGCAUACAUCUCUGGAGGAUGGUCCAGCCACGAUAAAUUUGCAAUACAGUAGGUCUGCUCUGGCUGGAGCACAGCAGACAUUUUCCUACAGUGCUGGGUGAGUGGAGGAGUCGCUGAAGCUGCCUCAGGGGAUACUAUGAAGAGUUGUUAAAAGGAAGAGGGAAGGAGGAAGAACACAGAUGUAUGGUUUGGAACAUCGUUUUCUGGGAGUACAGAAAUGCUGAUGUCCAAAAACAGAAAAACUGGAAUCAAGCACACUAAAGAAAAAAAAGAGGAAAAGAUCAAGAAGAAGGCUCCAGGAUAAAGAAGAAUCAAUUAGCCUUCAACAGUCUAUGACCUUGAAGGCUACAGCUCUGUGCAUAAUGUGCUGAAUAUGCUGAGACAGAAAAAAAAAUGGAAACGGGAGAAUAAAGUCCUAAAACCACUGAAGAGCAUGUUUCACAUAUGAUAAUGUCAUUUUCAAAUAUAAGCCAUGACAGCUUAGUUUAUGUCAAAAACAUGCACGGGAAAAGGAACGUCCCAGUUCUUUCUGUGACUAAACAAUACUUUCUUAGUUGAAAAAUAC